CAAUCUGAUCCAGCUGUGUGUUGAGAGCCAAUCUUGAAGUGACACAUCAACAGCAAGUCACAAACAGAACCCUCGAUGUUCAAGUCCAGUCUACAGUGGUAAAGAGGGUCGGGGUGGGGCCCUCUCAAAUGGACCCUUAUUUCUCUGUUUACAGGAAGUGUUGAGAAGAGGAAGGAGCCAUUGCUAAUUAAAGUGUCUUCCUUGGGAACCAUGAGGAGAAAGAAGAAAAAGCUAAAAACAAGAUCCAAGGGAGAAAAAGGCAUCAAGACAGAAAAGGCCCACAAGGGGACAGGGGGCAGGGGAGAAGCAACAGGCUGCAGUUGGAAUGGGCCCCCAGCAGGCACAGAGACGGGUCUUGGACAGUUUGUCACCGAGGACUCCACAUGAUGGCUGCUUCGAGGCUUCCGUCCUAAGCCUUCUUCUCUCCCGCAAGCAGCUCCUCACCCCUUAAAUGUUUGGCGAUUGCAACUCUCCAUUGUCUGAAGGUUUCUUCUAAGCUCCAGAUCUCAAGGGCACAGUAUAUGGCAUGCAGAAGAUGUACAUACAGAACUGAUCUGAAUGGAUGUCCCACAGGGCAUCACACAAAGUUCAUCCCUCCCUGCGUCCAUCUUGGUCGGUGCCCAGAACAUCCUCCUUGGGUUACUCCAGCAGGCAUCUGCCAGGAUAAUCCAUCUAUGCAUACUGAUCCUGCCUGUCCCUUGCGUGAAUUCCUUUGUUACAAUUCCAUCAUCAUAAGAAUAAAGCCCUUGCUUAGC